rnacentral:rRNA from 1 species
UUCGGUCUGCUACCUCUUACCCAUGUCUUUUGAGUACCUUCGUUUCCUCGGCGGGUCCGCCCGCCGAUUGGACAACAUUCAAACCCUUUGCAGUUGCAAUCAGCGUCUGAAAAAACAUAAUAGUUACAACUUUCAACAACGGAUCUCUUGGUUCUGGCAUCGAUGAAGAACGCAGCGAAAUGCGAUAAGUAGUGUGAAUUGCAGAAUUCAGUGAAUCAUCGAAUCUUUGAACGCACAUUGCGCCCCUUGGUAUUCCAUGGGGCAUGCCUGUUCGAGCGUCAUUUGUACCUUCAAGCUCUGCUUGGUGUUGGGUGUUUGUCUCGCCUCUGCGUGUAGACUCGCCUUAAAACAAUUGGCAGCCGGCGUAUUGAUUUCGGAGCGCAGUACAUCUCGCGCUUUGCACUCAUAACGACGACGUCCAAAAGUACAUUUUUACACUCUUGACCUCGGAUCAGGUAGGGAUACCCGCUGAACUUAAGCAUAUCAAUAA